UAAAAAAUUUUUUUUUUAACGUUUAUUUAUUUUUGAGACAGAGACAGAGCAUGAACAGGGGAGGGGCAGAGAGAGAGGGAGACACAGAAUCUGAAAUGGGCACCAGGCUCUGAGCUGUCAGCACAGAGUCCGACGUGGGGCUCGAACUCACAGACCGUGAGAUCAUGACCUGAGCCGAAGUCGGACACUUAACCGACUGAGCCACCCAGGCGCCCCAAUGUUUAUUUAUUUUUGAGACAAUGUGAGAGACAGAGUGCAAGCAGCAGAGGGACAGACAGACGGAGACACAGAAUCCGAAGUGGGCUCCAGGCUCUGAGCUGUCAGCCCAGAGCCUGACGUGGGGCUCAAACUCAUGAACCAUGAGAUCAUGACCGGAGCUGAAGUCGGAUGCUCAACUGACUGAGCCACUCAGGCGCCCCUGACUGUAGAUUUUUGAAAGUGGUGACAGGUCCAUAGAUAACCAAUGUAUUAAAGCUUGUUUGGUGAAUCUUCAUCCUAAUGUUUUCUGGACAACCACACAUGGGUAUGCCCUGGGCCAUUCCUCAUUCCUUUGACUCAGACGGCUCUGUGGAGCCUGGUGUCAGUGUGCACAUCUGGACUUCCCGUCUCUUCAUGGCAAAUUUCCAGACUUUUGGCAUGCUUCUUGAAGCCUACUCCAUGGGUGUGCUUUUAAGUGCUGACAUUGUAUUAUCUGGUCACUACCUCAUUGAUGGCAGAAAGGCCCUUCUCACCAUCCUUCUUUGUAGGAGCCAUUCUGUCAGGCCCAGGCUGGGAAGCUGUCUCACUUCUGGAUUGAAAUUAUUAAAUGGAUAGAUCGAUGAAGCUUGUAGCUGUGCCAGGAGUUUGUUACCGAGGUGAAAUAAAGUACAACUCAAGGUAGACAGAAGCCAGGAGUGCCUUGAAGGAAAAUCUUUCGUCAAGGAAAUUGAGAGUGGGAACAAUUCUUCCAUUGGUGGUAACACUGGCCUCUGAGUCUGCCAUCCAGAGAGCAGCUGCUGGAGGUGGCCCAUAGACUUGGCCACAGCAAGAGGAGGAAAUCAAGGCUUCAGAAGUUAAUUUACUUGCCCAAGUAGCGGAGUAAGUACUGACAGUCUGACCUCCAAUCUCCUAUCUUAAUCACUAAAACACGACUGUUUUCAGCAUCACCCCAGCCUCUAAUAACCAAAGCUUCUUUAUUGCAUUACUUCCUGGUGCCAAGUGCUUUCCUUGUAGGAAAAGUUUCUUGCAGGAGGGAUCCUCAGGCUCCUACCAAAUAAAUUUCAGUUUGGUUCUUCCAUCAGCUCAGGAGACAUAAUAAAAAUUUAUGCAAAGUUUAGCAAAAACAUAGCGUGAUUUCUCCCACCGAGAAGGCACGUUAGUCUUUUAGGCAACUUGGCUACAUUUCUGGCAGUUCCCAAGUAGGUUCAAACUGGGCCAUCUACCACUGUCCCCUCUUAUGCACAAUGGUUUAUGGUUGAUGUUGUCACUUUCAGAGACAGGCACGGUUUGUAAGUCAGCUUUCUAGACUCAGGGUGACCUGGGUUUCCAGCCAUCGACUGAGGAUUGUUGUACUCAGGUAUCCCACUUUAACUUCGUGUAAUAUAUAGAAAAUGCAUAGAAACAUCCCAACAUUUUAUUUUUGUGGGUAGGACUUUUAUUCUAUCUUUUCCCAAGAGUGAAUAUUCAAAGAAGUCUUUGACUCUUUCCUCACCUCUGUUAUGUUUGGUCAACUGCUCUUGAUCUUUCCACACGAUCUUUCCAUCCUAAUGCACAACAUUAUUCCAGUGAGUUUCAAAGCCCAAGUAAACAAUCACUCAACAUGCUACCUUGAAAAUCUUUGUCUCAGGUCUAAUUGAUUUCCCUUUACUACUCUAGCCACUCACCCCAUGCUACAUCUGGACGUUGUCAGUAUGUGGAAAUGUUCCAUCUUAGAAAUCUUAAGCUCUGGGACAUGUUCUAUCCCUUCAAACUUCCCCAGGCCCUCUCCUUGCUAUGCCCAUCUUCUACAUGAACUGCCUGCCACACUAUUAUAGUUGCCUGUUAUCAUACAGAUGGCUAGUUCCCGUCAAUGUCAUUUUUAUCUUUCUUCUGUAAAGAUAAACUUUCUAAUUUUUGGCUGGAUACAUGGUUGCCUUGAGAAUAAAGACUAUAUUUCCCUGCAUCAUUUGCAGCUGGUUAUGACCAUGUGACUCCAUUCUGGCCAGUUGGGAUGUGAGGAAAGUGACAUGUGUGGCUUCCAGGGAGAGGGCAUGCAUACCGCCACACUGAGUAUGAUGUGAACUUGACAGCCAGGCAUCUUAGAUCUUAGACCUUGUGGACAAUGGCAUCCCUCAAGGGGUGGUGGUAUAACAAGUUCACCUUGUUCUCUGGACAAUCUCAUGGAAUAGAGCAAGCAUACCAACCCUCCACCUAUAUCUGCACUGUUUCAUGAGAGAGAAAUAAGUUUAUUCUUAUUUGACUCACUGCAGUUUUGGGCCUUUGCUUCAUGCAGCUGAACCUGUAUUCUAAUUACAACCCUAUUGUCUGUUUUCCCGAGUAUACUUAAGCUCCUUGAAGUUGGGCCCCAUGUCUUAGUAACCAGUUGUGCUGGUCUCGUUCAUGAUGGAUUGGUUGGUUCCAGAGGUGGAAGGAGAAACAGAUUAGUCUUUUUCCUCCAAAGAAGAGGACCUUUCUGAUGAGACAAUAAUAUGCAGGGAAAAUGGGUAAAACACAGGCAAAUUUUUAUGCUGCCUCUUUUUUUUUUUUUUAAAAGUUUUAAUUUAAAUUCCAGUUAGUUAACAUACAGUGUGAUAUUAGUUUCAGGUGUGCAAUAUAGAGACUCAACAAUUCCAUACAUCACCCGGUGCUCAUCACAACUCACAACAAAUACACUCCUUAAUCCCCAUCACCUAUUUUACCCGUCCCCUACCCAUCUCCCCUCUGGUAACCAUCAGUUUGUUCUCUACAGUUAAGAUUCUGUUUCUUGGUUUGCCACUGUCUCUCUUUAUUGUUUCUUUUCCUUUGCUCGUUUAUUUUUUAAGUUCUACAUAUGAGUGAAAUGAUAUGGUAUUUGUCUUUCUAUGCUGUCCCUUACCUUCCUAGACUCAGUGGAGAAGGAAGGGCAGGGUCCCUAGGCAGAGGGGCAAAGCCUUAGAGGGCAAAGUUCCACCCACACUGACAGUAAAAAGGGAAAGUGAUGAUGUCCUAACGGGCCAUAAGUAGUGGACAAAGCCUGGUAUUUCUUAUCUUCCUGUGGAAAGAAGACCCUGUCAGCACAUUGCAGCUGGCACCAUAGUCACAUGUGUGUUCCAUUGCCUCAGGCUAUUCCUUGCAUAGGGUCAAUUGGUGGGGUCCAGAAUCCAGAAAGAAUUAAUGCAGGUGGGUUGGGCAGCCUGAUUAUAUCAAGUUGGCCAGGCAUUUAGGAGUUGGGCUACACAGUCACAUUAAGGGUGGCCAGACACUCAGGAGCUGGGGCUCCCUAGAUAAUGAUGACUCAUUAACCUUCUAAAAUAAUGGAUCUAAGCCAAUUAUAUGAUUAUAUUAAAAAAACCUGGUACCAUCACUGUCCAGUCAAGAGUCAGAGACCAUACCAAUUGUUUGAACAAGGAGAAUUUAAUGUCUAGAUUGUUGUUAACUAGGUAGCCUAAAAGACAGAAAGGAGCAUCAAUGUAUCACAGAGUUAGCAAUUGCAGGAAGCAGUUAAUACUUCCAGGGUUUGGGGAAUAAAGACGGGGAUUAUUAAAAUUUAGAAACUUGGAGGAGGGGCCAUAUGGAAUGGAGUUUACACCUCUGGGGAAGGGGCAUAGCUCUGCUGGAAACUGUCUCAGCUUGGAGCAGGGACCCCGUGGGCUGGAGAACCAGACCUCCAAGAAGGAGAAAACAGCCAGGAUGAGACUAGUACUGCAAGCAUUGGAAAAAACCUGCCAACUGGAUUUAAAUGCUGCUACGGGAGCAGAAGCAUUGCUGGUACGAUGCUCACAGGACUUGUAAACAGACAGGAAGGAGUCCCUUCUCCUUCCUCCAGCCUCCCAGUCCUCCUCUGGCAGAACAGAGCCUAACUGGGAGACUGCUGGCCAAGCAGGAAUGUGGUUUGCAGCGUCCCGGUCCCAGUGCCACAGGGCAGGACAGCAAAGAUGGGUGUGGAGAUGUGAGGCUAUACAGCAUAGUAAUUGGCACAUACCUCAGCAGUUCUAAAUUCAGAUAGUUUCAUGUUGUCUCAGCCAGCCUCAUAGGUAAGGCCUACAGACUUCAAUUUUUUAAGGGACGAUCUGGUGACUAAAGGAAGAAUGCUUUGUUGCCACACGACAUUUGAAAUGUUCCAGAGGGAUGAGGCAGAUAAAACAUCACCAGGCUGGUGAUAGGAAGUGAGUCUGGAAGGAUGAAAAGGAGUUCCUUGGGCAGUGGAAGAACCAGUGGAAGAACUAACCACUACCUAGUGGAAGAAGGGAGUCCCAGUCAGGAGGAAAAACAGGUACAAAGGCCAAAAAGAGGGCCCAAACCCUUAAGUGGGCUGAGUUGCACUCAGGGCAAAGCUACCCAAGUCUUGGGGCUUCCCUAGGAUAAGGCAGAAGUUAGGGCAUGGGUGACUGGCGCAGAGUACUCUCCCCAGGACCAGUGACCCCCUCAGAGUAAUUAGGACCCUCUACCAGUUCUAUUUAAGCACAAUGUGUUAUGCUGGCUGGACUUGGACAAGGUAAUUAAAAUUUCUGAUUAGAGAAUAUUAUUCCCAUUUGACAAAUAAGGAGACUGAGGCUCUGAAUUUAAGUAGCCUGCCCAUGAUCACAGAAUCUGUGACUCAAAUGACCUACUUUUCUCCAGGACCCCUUCCCUGGAUGUCCCCAUGGAUUCUCCCGCUGAGCACGUUCCAACAUGCACUCCUUCCCUUCUUCUGUGUCUCGCUUCAGACCUCCUUUCUGGAUCCCUGAAGUCAGGUCCUGGGUUCCUUCCUUUUUCCUGCCUCCAUGCCCCCACCUCGCCCCAUACAAUCCAUCACCAAGUCUUGUAGAUUUGACCUUCUAAACAAAGAAGCCUCUCUAGGCCAGAGAAAGCUUCCAAAACCACAAAAAUCAUGCCAUUUUCCUUCUUAAAACUUCUCAGUGGUUCCCAUGGCUUACUGGAGAAAAUCCAAGCUCCUUUAUUUCAUAGUGAGGCCACUGUGAUAUGGUCUUUAUUAACUUCUCCAACUUUGCUGGCCACUGUCUCUCUAUCCUGCGGUGAGACCGGGGGGCAACUCUGGCCAGGGAAACAAGACGAGGGUUCACCUCCUCCCUCCACUGACUAACCUGCAGGCAAGAAAUUGCAGUGAUGCCACAUUGUUUUCUAUGCCUUCCAGCAGGUUACCUACCUCUGAUUUAGUGGCUUUAGCCACUGCUCAUGUCAGGGUAGCAUUGAUGCAGGCCCGCUGGCUUCUGUUUUAUGUGCUGGAAUGAAUGCGUGAGGAUGCCUCUGGGUAUUGUUUCUGGCCUCUCACCUCUAAUCCCUUCCUCUCUCCCUCCCUCCCUUCCUUUUCUCUCCUCUCUCUUUCAUAAAAAGUAUAUUUAUAUUAGACAGGAACUUAUUUUAUUUUAUUUUAUAGAGAGUGGGGGGAGGGGGAGAGAGAAAGAGAGAGAGAGAGAGAGAGAGAGAGAGAGAGAGAGAGAGAAUCCCAAGCAGGCCCCAUGCUCAUGCUCAGUGCAGAGCCCAACGUGGGUCAAUCCCACAGCCCUGAGACCUGUGCCAAAAUCAAGAGUCAGAUGCUCAACGAACUGCACCACCCAGGUACCCUAGACAGGAACUUUUUAAUGCAAAGGGCAGAAACUCAGUUCAAAUUAACUUAAGCCUAAAAAGGGAAUUUAUUGACUUAUUGAACUGGUAAAUCUAGGGGUAGAGCUGGAUCCAGGGAUAUAAAUAUUAUUAUUCUCUCUCUCCCUUUCUGUGUUGCUACUCUCUGUGUUGGCCACAUUCUCUCCUAUUUCAAGAUGUAUUCCCUGUGUGUAGGAGGUGAAGGGCAGCAGGGCUGCAGGCAGCUCCGAGUUUAUGUCUCGCUUGUCCACCCCAGAGGAAUGGGAGCUUCUCUCAAUGUCUCUCCAUAAAAUCCCGAGGAAAGGCUCUGAUUGGUUCUGUUUCCUAAUUUGUCCUUGCUUCAGUUCACCCCCUGCCCUCCAAUCCCUGGGGCCAGGAGGAAGGGGGACAUUGAUUACAAAGGGCUGGAUCAGAAGCUCAUCCCUACAGUCAAGGGUGGGGGACGCUGUGAUUGGCAUUCAUCCAGAACCACAUAGACUUGGAGGGGUAGUUACCCAAAGAAAUAGGGGUGCUACUAUUAGAAUAUGGACAAAAGACCUAUUGGACAGAUAGAAAAAAAAAAAAGGUAACCAAAGUGAUGUCUAUACUGCUAUCAUCACCACCACUAUUACGACCACCACCACCGUUAUCGAGCAACUGCUGUGUUAUAGGCACAGGGCAGUUCCUUUAUGUAUACAGGUUAUUUCUGAAUAUUACACAUGACACCAUUUUCAAGAAGAGGAAACCGACACUUGGGCGGUUUAACGCUUUUGCUUGAAGUCAUGGAGCUAGCCUGUCUGACACCAGGUGUGUGCUUUACCUCACGCUGCCUUCUCUGGGCCGGGGAGUCCUCUGUCUCACCAUUGCCCAGUAAUUACGGCUCACAAAUGACCCUGUGGAGGAGUGGCUGGAUGAGUGCAUGACUUAUAUAAUUGACCUUCAGUCACAUUGGCCAACUUAUGUUUUCAUAAUGUGGAAGGUGCAUUUUUAUGAUCCAGGCUGUGGAAUGGGGUUAAUGAACCGGUACUUCCCCGCCAGGGGCCGAAUGUACCCCGCUGAGAUGAAGAUAAGGGGGGCUGAGCUGUUUAAGAGGAGUAGGGCUGCCCCCUCCAGAAGACCAAAGCCACCUACCGAGGAUGUUGAAUUCAGUGUUGCAAAUAAACGUUAAAAAAAAUCGAAGCCCUCAAAACACGUUUGCAUCUGGCUUUUUACUUUGGGUUGCUUACCUUAAAAAGUCAUUUACUAUUGGUUUGCCACUAGCUGUUAAAGACUUUAAGCAUAUGGGUAAAUAGUAAUCAAAAACACAAAAAUAUAAUUUAGCCUUGACAUAUGAGAUAUAUAGUGGCUUAAGGGAAGGAGUCAAUGUUGUAUACUUAAAUAUAUAUACUAGAUAUACUUAAAG